rnacentral:lncRNA from 1 species
GUUUAAAUUGCACACACGCAGCUGCCUUGCUGUAGUGUUACAGAUGUGAUACUGGUAUCCCAUGUGAGCCGGCUGGGUGUGCUGAGCCUGGUCCACCCCUCUGCUUGGGAUUUUCAAAUCCAGAGUGAUUGUUUAAAUUCUCAUUAUUACAGACUGAAGUACGGGCUUCUAGUUUCCCAAUUGAGUGACUCUUCACUGAGGUCUGAAAGCAGGCCCCAGGCUUUAGCUGUAGCAGCUAAUCCUUGCUACUGAAUAAUGGGUGACUUUACAUAGCAAAUAUGUUACAAGAUCUGAGGUCAGUGGAUGGGAAUGAAGAGCCAGAAAGAAGGUUUAUCACUUCUCUCUGCUUCCCAUGACAAGCCAAGUAGCAGGAGCCAAAUUUGAGCACCAUUACAGAGCAUGUACCAUAGUACUCACUUUCUGGUGAGUUACUGCUGUCAAAGUUCACAGUGCAGUAUUUUCAAGGAGUUUUUAGCUGUGGGAAUCAGACUAGUAGAUGUGGCCUUUCUGUUUUUAGACUUAAUUAGUUGGUGUGCAUUUACUUUUGCAGUCUUCUGGUACUGGAUGAAAAUGCAGGCAUGGUGCAGCAAAACACCAUGCUUGGGGUAUUUCUUCCCUUCAAAUAAUCAUUCUCCUGUUUGCCAGCAGCACUGUUUACAGCCUGAAGAUUGCAGACAGAUGUGUUCAUUCAGUGUGAAUUUCCAGGCAGUUUUCAACCUUUCCUUUAUUUUGAAGUGCCAUGGGAAAAAUAAUCCCUGUUUUUGUAUGCUGGUUUUCAUGUAUGCAGUUGCAAAUGUUGGGAGCCAAGAAUGCGAAGGAUCCAAACCUACAGUAAGUAGGUCAAUCUUGAAAUGCUGUCACGUGUUUGGGCUUUUGCUUUUUUUUUUUUUCCCCUUUGGUGAGGCAGCAGAACGUAAGGGUUGAGUUAAGAGGCAGAAAACAGAAGUGCAACUGAGUCCUCUCUCCAGUUUUUUCUCAUUAGCGUCUAGAAAAUGGUAGACCUCAAAGUGAGAUUCAUUAAGAAUGAGCUAACAAGCAAGUUCCAGUUGUGAGCCAGGUUCUAUACUGCUUACCUGUUGCAUUCUGAAACUACCACUGUUUUAUUCCAACAUAUUCAGGCAAGUGUGUUCCAGGACCUGAGUCAUGGUAUCCCAGGGAAGCCCGAGUGUUCCAUGCACAGGCCGAUCCCACGACCCCUGAGGAUGUCGGCACCGAUGGGAACGCAUCGCAGCCCUCCCCAGCAGCAGUCCCCACAGGGGCGCUCCCUGUGCACCUCAGAGGAGCCAAUGCUGUAAAUCCCAUCCUGGUGGUCUGUUGUCACACCUUGCCCCUGGGAUGAGGGGAUGCUGGAGCCCUGAUCCUGACACAGCGGUAACUGCACUGCAGGACAUGCUGAGCCCCGGAAAUUUGGGCUGGAAGGGCUCUUUGGGACUCUGCUCAGAGGCACUUGCAAGAUUCACAGACUGAUUGGAGGACAGCCCACCUCUGACCAUCUCUGUGUUUAUAAAUCCUGUUUGGACUAACGUGAUAUUCAGGGGAACGCAGGUCUUGACCACACACACUGUCAACACAGGACCUUGGACUUGAACUUUGUGCCUCGGACUUCAGCUUUGUGAGCCCUCAGACAGCCCUUCUGCAGCUGCAUCAGGCCACACACAGUCACAGCUCUCAGCUGGGAGACGACAGGCACAAAGCUGGCACUGGCUCUGUGAUUACUUCUCUGCAAAGUCAAACAGGGCCAAAAAUAAAUGCUAGUGAAGGAAUAAACAGACGUGAAAAGAAGGCUUGGACACUUGGAGGACAAGACUGCUUUGUGUUUCCCAAAGCAAUAAGCCUCUUCACAAGGAGGUUACUCUUUCAGAAAAACACGGGUCCUGUGACACUGCCAAGGUCAGUAGGUGCCCAGCAGAGCAGGGAGCAUUCAAGGCAGACGUGGUUUGGGAAAGGGGCAUAUUUGCUCCCAUUGAAAGAGGAGAGAGGAGAGAAAUUUACAUUGCUCUGCCAUUUCAGCUCUUUCUACAGGGUUUGAACACGCACCAGUUUGGCAGCAGAAGGCAGCUUCCACCUAUCUCAGAUGGCAACGUAGCCCCAGCACUGUGGCUGUAUCACUCGCAUGCUGGCUUGGGAAGAGGGCAGUGCUGCUGCAGUUCUGCAGCUGAGGAGGCAGAAGUCCCUUGUGGACGUGGCUCUCUUCUUGUGCUGGUGCUGUACGAGCACUCUAAGCUAGGCCUCUGCUACCUGUCGGCGUGUCUCGGACCGGUCAGCUGCAGUCUGGAUGGGCUUUGCUUUCUGCAGGAAAUAGGCAGAAUUCAAAGCAAAUAGCUUGGUACAGACACCUUGCUUUCUGGUAAGCAUAAUUGGUUAGCAAAGUGCUGCAGUGAUCUCAGUGGGGGUAGGAAGCUUUGGACUUCACUUUAGGGACUUAACUCAUUCUCCAUCCAGUGCAGUAUCUUUUGAAAUGUGACUUUUUAGGCUCUUUAUUGUCUCAGUUGGCUACAGAAUGAAAAUGCUGGGUAAUAUUGAGCAAUGAUAAGAUGAUACAGAGUCUGUCUCCUGCACAAAGGGAAGUGCAGUUCUUUCGCUGUCUCUAAAGCACCAAGUUGUGAGUCAUCCAAAGCAUCUGAGGACUCUGGGUAAGAAACAUGAGCUUUUAAAGGCACCUCAUUAGGACUGAAUCUUCAGCACCGUCUGUAGUGACACACCAAAACAUACUCAUCUCAAAGAGGGCAAAUGUUGAGAAGUUAAGGGAGCUAAUUAGUGGAAUCAGCUGCACUGCAGAUCUGAGGAAUUGAAUGUGAUGGAACUUGGAUUCCAAAACCAGCUGAAACAUGCAGGAAGAUGAACCCUGACAGGAAAUGCUCCAACCCCAGUGGGAUAAAUAACCAGCCCCAAACACGUGGAGAGCAUUAACUGACAUGCAGAAGUUCUGAUUGGCAUGAGGGUAUUCUGCUGGCAUGCAGCUAAGGAUUGAAAUCAGAUGUCUGGAGAGGAACUGCUACAGAAUACGAUGCUCUGCUCUGCUCUGCUCUUUGAUGGAGGCCAUCACUCUUAUCACAGGGCUGACAAAGCAGCUUACCCUGCAGGUCCUGAACAGCCACCACUCCAGUGACGUGUUCAGUGCAGCAGUUCUGGACCUGCCUUAUGAGUUACUGCCACUGCCACAAGGAUGGCAUUGGAGAAGAGUGGUGGAGCAGAAGACUGAAGGCAGUAUUUGCCUCAGUCAUCCAAUUUGAAGCUGCUGGGAUGGGAAAGGCAGAGACAGGAUGAAAAAUGUCAAAAGUGAACUUGUGAAUUGGACUUGAAAAGGAAAUUAGAACAGAUGGCAGAGGGUUUCAGCUAGAGAAAUAAAAAGAGGAGAAACGUGGUCAUUAUGGAGUGAGAAUGGGGUUGAGAUUAAGACCCAUCCACAUAUGGUCUAAAAAUGAAUUAAAAACACUUUGUCCACAUUUUCAGUAGAGAUGAUCGUAUUGAGCAGUGGGACAAAGACAAGAUUUCUAGUGGGAAUAUACAUAAGGGAAUGAAAAUUAUCACAUGUAAGGUGGAAGGAAAAGCAUGAAGAAUUCGGUGUGCUCAGGUGAAGGUGCACUGGCAGAUUUCCAUCCCAGGAUUUGGCACAUUAAAUGAGUUCAGCUUAACCUGAUAUUUCUCUUUGAUGACUGAUUAUUUUUUUAGGCAAAUGAAAUACAGGUGAUUUACUCUAUCCAGAAUCUGAUAUUAUACCACAGGGGAAAUUACUCGUUGAAGUUGAGAUGAUGGGGAUUAGUGUGGAUGGUGAAUGCAAACCUGUUAAAGUGCAGAGGAAAGGGGAGCUCUGAGCAGAGAAGAAAUGCCAGACAGAGGCAGUCAGUAAGUGGAACUCCUCAGGAGUCAGUGUUGAGCUCACUCUUGCUUCUUUCAUUAACGAGUCUGGCACAGCAGUAGGAAUGUAGUAAAGAAAUCUGCUGAGGACACGGGCUUUGUUAAUACAGAGGAUGAUCGGAACAUCAAUCAGCAAUGAGUGAAUGACAGAAUUCAUCUGAAAUAGAAUAGAGAAAGUAUUAAGACAUGCAUUUAGAAAUUAAUAACUAGAAUAUCAUAUUACUUACUUGAAGAUGACAAAGGCAGGGGGGUGGAAAAAAAACCACAGAGAAUAAUUCGCUCCCAGGGAUGACUGUGAGCCACCAAUCUGAUAUGGAGAAGCAAACACAAUCCUAGAAGGUACAGGUUCACUCAUGUUCGAGGAAGAUUAGCAGGUACAGAGAAGGGCAUUGAGGAUGAUCAGAGGGUUUGGAACAAGAGGAGACUAGAAGAGUUUCAUUUGUUUAGUUUUUCAAAACAAAGGCUAGAGGAGAUAGGAUUGUUUUCAGUAAAUAUAUCUGAUAGGUAAAGAUCAGAGAAAAAAGAGAAUUGUUUAAACUACAUUAUGAUGCUGGCACAAGAACAAAUGAUAUUAAGGCUGAAAAUUUUAAAUGAAGUGCUGGGACAACCUGCCAAAAAGCACGAUAUGAUGUAAUUGAAUGUAACAGUAGGAGGCUGGAUCAGUAAUCCAGAGCCCUGUGUUCCUAGAUAACUUCUUUUUUGGGAAGGGAAUUAGCCACAGCAGCUAAAUGCAGGGAAUGGAAAGAACAGCCCGGACCAACACCACAAAGGUGUUCCCAGUGAUGGAGCAGUGCGGUGUGUGGUGCCUAUAUGGAGUGGUUUCUUUCUUAGUAAGAAGACCAGGCCGCAGUGUGUGCUGCUGUACAGCUAAGUGCCAGCUGUACCAGAAAAGCAGUGUCACUAAAACAUUUCGCUGUGGGUUUGAGCUCUUGCUUUUUACCCACAGUGUGACCGUCUUUCACCUCCCAAACCUAAAUAUACAUGGCUGAAAGCACACCUUCAGGAAUGGCUGUCCCAGCACUGCCAGUGGCUCGCAGGCUGUGCAGAGGCUGGAAGCAGGCAGUGUGCUCGGCUCCCCGCUCUGUCCCCUGGAGCUUUCCUUUUCUGAUGCCCUGUUAGGCAGAAUGCCCACUCACGGGGAAUACUGCUGUACCUCUUUGAAGAGAAGCAGUAAAAAGGCUUUUGGCAAAGCGGCCUCUAACCAGCACCUCUUAAAUGAAGCUGGCUGACAUACACGCGUGCUGCAGUGAUGCCCCUGCAGUGGGAAGAGCCCCCUGACCUCAGGGCACGGGACCUGCUGGUCCUGCAGCCCCUCUGGAGCAGGGGCUGAGCAGCAGCUGGUGCCGGGGGCUGGGGCUGCUCUGCUCUCCCACAGGUCUGCACCAGGUGCCCCACGCUGCUCAUCCGAGGGCAAGAAAAUGCAGCUGGCCAGAGUCCUUGGGUUUGGAAGCAGCCCCACCAGCUAACAGGAGGGCCUUCCCUUUUCCUCCCCCCAAGAGAACUGGCAAAUUCAGCUCUUCAAUGGCACGAGCUCAUCUCAGCCUUGCCUAUAAAUAGAUAAAUGAGAUUCCUCCAGUCCCAGUGAGCAAUUCUGACAUCCUCCCUUUGCCUCGCAGAGAGCUGAGUCACAGGCACUCUGCACUCCAGUCCCUGCAUUACUUACAUGGUCUCAAAGGAAAUUUUAACACAUCCAAUGAAUCAUCAGGGAUUGGAUCAUGUUUAAAGUUAUUCCAGUGGCAUUUCCCUUCUAUUGUAGCAAGUCUGCCAACACCUAAAACUUUAGCUAAUCUGGACUCAAAAUGCAUUGAGGAAAUAGCAUGUUGACAUACACAGCUACUAAUACAAAUAACUUAAAAAGUUCUCUUAAAUCUGCAUCAACAAAUAAAUGACCCUUAGUGGGUUCCUUUAGCACUUCGGUCCUGCUAAUUUUGUCAGACUGCUUUGUUUUGUAGCUGCUUAUUUAAAAGAACUCAAAAGUUGGAAAUGUUUUAAUAUUCAGUCUUUAGGUCCCUAAUUUAAUCUCCUGCAGGUUUCCUGCCAAAGUAUUAUUUGCACUGAGAUGGAGCUUGCAGCCCUGUGCUCGGCCUUUCACAGAAAUGCACAUGUUCCUGUUCUUACCCACGAUAAAAAUAAAAUGCCUGCAAAGCAAGGACAAAACCAGAGUGGUGUUAAGUAUAAAACACACAGAGUUAUCUGCCGGCUGCACGAGGCUCUGAGCUCCAGCAUGAAGCUGUAUCUCCUGAUGGGGCACUGGCACUUGUUACCCUUCCUUCUCCCACCCGGGACAGUGUAGUCUGAUUGGCUUAAAGCAACACAGCAUCUGCAAUCAGAGGAGGUCUCCUUCUGCCUCAGAAACAACUGAAGAGUGCAAAACUCUCCAGCAGAAUUUGGGAGCUGUGAAACAAAUAGAAACACAUUUCUCUCUGUUGGUUUUCUGGCUUGCCUUGCUGUAUCUUAGAACUUGUUGGGACUUUCCACUCAUCCAGAAUCCGGUUACCAGACUCUCCAUUUGAAUGAACAAGAAAUGCUAACAUUGGCUGGCUUGCUGCUGUGCUUUAGUACUCUGAGACCUGAAACCUGGCUGGUUCUUUUGAUAACCCUAGGAAUGCUGUGUCUUAUUCAAAUCACAUCUUUCUAACACCUUUUCAUAAAGCAACUCUCUGCCUGUGUGUAGACUGUUAACAAGCAUUUGUGCAACACAUUCCAGCAUGAGCUGCAGUCUCUCCAUGAGAUGAUGUGGCUCCUACACUGAGGCUCACUGGUUUAUUUAUCAGCUUAGCACAGCACAGCUUUGCUUGACAGUGUUCUGCCAGCUGUUACUAUACAAUAGCACUGGGAAAGAAGAUCAGUUUUGGCUCUCAGUGGAAUUGGCCAUAAUUCAGCUACCUGUUGACAAAUUAUGAUUUAUUUAACAGCAUAAACUGUAAUAUUUGUAUAGCUGAUAGUUUUCACCCUUCCCUGCAGCUGGAAAAAAAAAAAAAAAAAAAAAGAAGAGGAACUCCCAGAAGUUCCUCACUUGAAACUGAAGUUUGAUUGUAGUAACGCCUUGUACUGCUGUUUCUGUGCAGGAAAAAUGACAUCUCUAAUGGACAAAUCAGUGGUGUCUGUGUGAUGCUGGAAGAGGGCAGGUGCGUUGAUAGGGAUCACACAGCUUCUUGCUUGGCCUCCUUCCUGCAGCAGUAAUCUUUGCCAUGUAGUGAAGGGAUGGAGGAUGGCUGGUGGGGCCUCCCGAGUGGGGCUGUGCUCUGAGCUGCCAUGGGGACAAGGUGCAGUCCAGGCCUCCAAGUUCCCCGUAAUGCAGCAUGCAGGAUGUGACCUCAGGAGUGCUGGGGGUCCUGCUAAGGAGAGCCGCCUUCACAGAAGGCAAACGAGGUAAGUCAAAAAAAAAGGGGCUUUAGAAUAAUUGUGUAGAUGGCCUUGUUCCACCUGCAGCAGUGAGCUUAGUGUAACUUCUCAGCCCGCACUCCUGCCUGUGCUGGGAGUGGGACAGUGGUGUGGCUGCACCAGGUUGGUAAGGGCUACUUCCAUGUACUGCAUGCUUCCGAAAUAGGGGCCAGUAAUUCAAGCCAAAUGACACAGCAGAUCCACAACAUAAAAAACAACAAUUAACCUACCAAUUUUUGCUCAUGCCUUUAAAAUACGCUCCGCCAAACUGUACUUCAUGACUAUCUCUCAGGAGGGCCAGAUUCUGUAGGACAUGUCCUCAGCUUGCAGAAAGAGAUCAUUAAUCAUUAGUGUGCCCUGGUCCCUGGCUAUUUUAAUCACUGGUGAAAUACUCAUGCAGUUCCCACUCCUAAAAAUGGUAUUUGACUCCAAUGCACAUGAUUUCCUUUGGCUUCCUUUCCCCAUUUAAGAGCAAGCCAUAACAGCCUGGAAGUACAAGCACUGGAAUCCGUAGAUUUGCUUCUCAUUCGCCACAGAGCCAAAGCUUGGUACUGCAGGUAGCAUCUGUGCUGACCAAAAGAUCAGAAUAUAUUGUGACUGGCUGUCUGUGACAGCCCUUCUGCCUACAGACUGAUGGUCAAACCCUGUCCUUUGUCUGUGUGCUUGAGACUCGUGACAUCUAUUCAUUUUGCUGAGGUUUUAUUUUGUUUUCUUUGUCUUUAUAGAGAACCAAAUCUCAACCAGUACCAACUGGGCCCCAGAACAGAGUCCUGCUCUUGGGAAGGCUGUCCUGGUUGUCCCACCAAUUCUCUUAAUUAAACUUGAUUGACUCUGGCCUAAUUAAAAAGACACAGACCAGCAGUAAUCUGCUAAAACUAAAGGUUGCUUGGCAGCUUGGAUUUCUAGUUUUGCUGAAAGUAGUUUAAAACAUGAAGAAAGUUUGCCUUAAUUACCAUAUUUCCUCCAUGAAACAGCUAUUCAUCGAAAACUACAGCCAAGUACCAAAGGGCUCCAGUGAAAGAAGGCACCAAAUUUGCCUGCAAAAUGUUAUUUCCUGCACUGGUCUAAUUCAGAUCAUGUGGCUGACAUGCAAUUUCUAUUUGACUGAAAGCACCACAUUAAAUUAUUCCAGGCAGAUGUUGUGCACUGAAAGCAGUCGAUAACAUCACAGGGCAAUUCAGAAAGGCCCUGUGCAGCCAGAGACUCCUUGCAGCCUGGAACAUGGGUGCUUGAAAGAUGCUGGUGCAAUUGCUUUGAUGUGCAAAGAAAUAUGAACAGUGGCUCAAGCUUAGUACAUCUUCUGCUAUCCAUGCAGAAUUAUCUGCAUGCCAGAAGGGGAUGCUUUGUUUUGGCAAGGUCUAUUGAAAUGUUCAUACUACUUACUUAGCAUAUGCCAGGGAUGGCAACUUCAAGAAGUCCAGGGCAGCACUUAAGCAGAGUAGAAGUGGAUGGCAUCACUUGAGACUGACUGAAAAAAUCAUGAUUGCCUGUGUAUACUUUUCAAAACACAUUUAUUAUAGGAAUUUCUGCAUUUUUCCAAGCCAGACUGGAGGUGCUAAAUGACAGUGAAGUUUCAAAAGGAACAGCCAAAUUUGUCCUUGAAAUCGUAAUGCUUUGGCCUGGGCACACAGAAUUGGACUCACAGGUCUGCCCAGAAUGCCCUGCAGUGAAAUGGAGCAGGAAUCCCACCUGCAGGGCAUGCAGGAGCCCUCCUGCCUGCCAGCCCCUGGCCAAGUACCAAGUGUCCCCACAGGGCUCUGCACCUGCCCUCCACUCCAAGGCUAUUGGAGGGGUGUGUGACUGGGAGAGCUGUUUUGAGAACAGAUAGGAUAAAAAUAACACCAACUCUUCUUGCUCUCCUAUUCACCACAUGCAGUCACAUAUAUGAAGGGCUUCUUCCACAGAGAUGCAUAAGCAGGAAAUUGUGGCUUACCAGAAGGUAGAAGACACAAGGUUAUAAAGCACUGGUAGAGUUUGUCAGACAUUUAUAUAGGCAGAGUUCCCAUAGCACAUGAGAGAAAGAUCCACUCAUCCAUGCACCGGCUUCAGGACGGGCUGCAGGAUUGCUCUGUGUGCAUCCCCUGCAUUCGGAGGGCCCCUUCUGACCUCCACAUCCACCACUUGGCUCUCUCCAUGGGUCAGAGCUGUGAUAGGAAGAAGGUGGGCAGGCUCAAUCCAGUAUCACAAAGCAAAAAGGGGUUUAUUUUAGCAUAUAAAUAUUCUUACUUUGAGUAUGAUGUGAAUACUAAAGAUAAAAAUUGUAACGUAGGAACAAAAACCCCUUCUGGAUCUUCCUGUUUCCGGUACUAAGAGUCGGUGGUUGUUCUCCAUCCUGGUAGUAGUGGAGCUGCUUCUGUUUAUUCCAUCGGUAGAUAAUGGGUUAAAAGCAGAUCAAUUCCAGCCACACCGGGGGAAACAUUCAAUUCCUUCCAUCUUGUUUCGGUAUCAGGUGAAGACACUGCACUGGCUAAAUGAGGAAACAGUCUGCGGCUUCGUACGCAGGGCCAGUCUCAGAAAUCAAAGGCAUCAAAGCAGAAAGUCCUGAACCAAACCACUCCAAAAGCAGCGGCCUGCAAGGCAGCCCUGAGCAGCACGGGUUUCUUUGCUCCCAGCCCAUCCAUAGCUGACAGAAGGGUGCCUUUCUUGUGCCCUUUACCUCCCUUACCUAGUCACACAGCCGCUGGGACCAGGAUUGGCUUUUAGGGCUUGCUUACACAGAGCAGUUGACUAUUCUGCAAUAGCUGCUGCAGGAUGACUUCAUGUGAACGCGCUCAUUCCGCAGCGGCUGUUGGAGCUCCUGAUUCAUACCAUACCUUAACUGGAGUCGCGUCAGCAAGUCAGCGUGCAUUACAAAGUUAAGCAAGACCUGGGACCCAGUCUGGGGUUUCUAGUCACUUCUCCUUUACAUAGAAUUCAGCUCUAACAGAAGCAGUUGAAAUGUUCCUGAGAAUGACAAAUAACAAAUGAGUAAUUCUUGCUCCAGAGCCACGUAGCCCAAUUAAAAAUAGGUAAGUGAUGUGCAAAGGCAAGUCUGUGCAGUCCGGGGAGAGAGAAGGGAAAAAAAGAAAAAUAGGCAUGCAUUUCUAAUCUAUUGGCACAGCCACGUGAAGCAGAAUUCAUUGAUAAACAUACCAAUUAAUUGGUACACAAAGCCCUUUCAAAAAGGUAAUGACUAAAGCAACCAGACGCUGGGAAAAGGACAGUUACUGUUGUGGAGCCAGCUUAAUUUGGUUAUCCAUCUCCCUUGGUAGAGUUAUUAAAGGGGGAAAAGCUUUGAACACUGUUGUAGGGUUCAGUGAAAAUAAAAACGCAACACAUACAAGCUCUCAGAAAUGCAAACAAGGUGUUAGAAUGCAUGAUGGAGGAUAAUUGAAUAUUACAGUUCUGUUUAACAAAUUGCUUCUCUUUGUGCAAUUACUGCAUCUCCGUCUGCCCUAAGCAGGAAAGAAGCUCAGAAUGAGGCGAUGGGGAUGAGCAGAGAGCUGCGAUGACUGAGAGCAGUUCAGCAGGAAGAGGAGGAAAGCAGGGAGUUAGCAAGGAGAGGGCAGUUCCCAGCGUAAUGAAAGGCAUUAAGUCUAAAACCACCAACGCUUUCCCAAACAUGAAAAUUGAAUACUGAGAGAGAAAAGAAAAAAAAAAAAAAAAAAAAGAAAGAAAUGCAGAUGCAAUAAUGUAAGAAGCUAGCACACAUCACUGUCCUGGAAUCUGAGAAAACAAGCUUUUUAAAUACUUCUGACUGAAAGCAUUUAUGGCAGCGCAGCCCUGGGAUGUUAGAGGAAAGGACAUGAGCAGGAGCAUUGCAGGAUGGAGCCCUUCUGUCGGCAGGCACACAGCUGUGCAGGACAGGGGCGCAGUGACAGGCAGGCGCUGCCUGGUGGGGCAGUCGGUGCUCCCUGCUGCCCAGCACGCUGGUGAUGCUGCACGGCCACCUUCCCACAUCCCGUGACUGUCCUGCAACCAGUGGAGUAAUUUCUAAUGCUAAGUAAAGGACCGGUGGCUCGGGGUGCACCCCCCCCUGCUCCCCAACACCUUGCUCUUAACCAGCCACGCUCCUGCUGGAGUGCUGCGGUCAGGGGUCGUGUCUCCAGGGUUGGUUUGAGAACGUCUCUGGCUGCAUUUUGAUGUGAUAGCCAGAAAUGAGAGACAGAUACAAGAGGGAGGGAAAGUGCUUGGUUUCUUUCAUUUCUCUCACUUUGCCUUCCAGUUCUCAUGCCCUGAGAUUCAUGCAACAGUGCACUCUCCAUACCACAAUUAACAGUGAAUCUUUUCCAAUCCACUCUGACAGAAACUCCUCCCCCAGCCUGUAACACCACUCCAGCUUGCAAGCAAGCCUUCCCAAAGGCAGACCUGCCCUACCGUGCUCGCCCUGCGCCCAGCACUCGUGCUUACCUUCCAGGCCUCCCUGUGCCGGAGGUCACAGUUGACCAUUGCAAGAACAAUAAGGAUUUUUAGGGGCAUUAUGACUGGGUUAGUAAAACACAGCUGCCCCUGAAAGUCCCUCAUUUUUCUUGCUGCCGCUCAGUCCCCUCCACGUCCCUAGGAGGGCAGAGGUCUGAUGGGCUCCUUUCGCUCCAGCAUGGCUCUGCCACCUCAUGCUGGCUUUGCUGAUCUGCCAGCAGCAGCCCAGCCGUGCUGACCGGCCGUGACACAGGCAGUGGAGGUCCAGAACUGCUUUGUCAUCACUGCAGGCUCCCUCCUAAGCAAACGCUGCGCUGCACUUCAGCAUAACGCCAGAUGGCUCGUCUGUCACUCGGCAGAAAUGCCAUCAGACAGAGCGCACCUCACCGUAAGCAACCCUCAAACGCCCCCCAAAUCACCAGGGCAAAAUGAAGCAAUGGCCUGUCCUGCCAGCACUCAGUGCACCGCACUUUGCCCAUUAAACACAGGGAUCCCAGCGCCGGUGAGCACCUGCUGUGUGUGCACUGUGACGCAGCCCCGCGGCGGUGGGAGGGGGUCACAGCGCCCGCCCAGCUGCACGAGCAGUUGUUCUUGAUUUAUUAAUAAAGCUGGGGGUUCAAUUAGGUAAUUGCCACUGAUUUCUCAACCGCUUUCAGUUUAUGAGAUUUUUAAGAGCUAUAUUUUUCCUACUAAAAAGGUGCCAAGUGGUUGGCUGGGAAUUUUCAACCUCAUUUACAAAUCCUCUUGGAAUUCCCAGCCCAACCCAGCAUGUUCAUAGGGCAAGGAGCAGCACUUUUCUUUUAACUCCUUGGUAAUUUGAAUGUUGAUGGCAGUGGACUCAACAAAAUCCAUAGGCAGAUUCCCAUGGGUGCUCCUGCCCUGCUGUUUCCCUGAGCUCGCUGUGGGGUGCUGGAUGGGCACACCAGCCCCAUGCAUGCUGUGGGAAGCCCCGUGGGCUGGGCAAGCACUCUGCCCUUGAGGACAGAGCUCUGGGAGCUGCUCUGGGGCUCCCGGGGCCUUUGGAGCAGAGCAGGGAACCACUGAGGACUCGCAGCACUAUUUUUUUUCUCCCCCUCUUGCAUUAAAAAUGCCCUGCCCCUCAACGAAGAACCCAUUCCCAGCAGUUACAGGUUAGGACAAACACGACACUGUCUCCAUAACCCACAAAGUGUGCUACGAGCAGCCAUCUCACACGGCUCGGGUGCCCCUGUCCGGGGCAGGCCCAGGCGCUCUGCAGGGCUCACUUGCGCUGUGUUACAUCCAGCCUCAGAACAAUGGGGCUGAGCUGCAGAGCUGCGCCGUGUUUGGAGUUGCUGCCGUUCAAACAUGCCAUCUCCAGGGACACGGACGGGGCCGGCGCAGCUGUUCUGCAUGCAAUGGGAAUGCUGAGGUUCGGGCAGCCCAAGGUCCCGGCCACGUGCAGCACAAGAUGAAUGUCCUCACCUGUCUCACCAGCGAAUGAUGCUCCAUGGCAGCAGCCAGCCUGGCACACAGCAAAUGCCUCAGCCCCUCUCAUUGCUGUACGAAGCCACACCUAAUUUUCAUUUAGAAUUUCUUCUAACGCUGGGAAGUUAAAUGAAAGCAACCAUUAUGCCCUGAUUUGGUAAUAAAACACGAGCUGUGAUUCUGAUCCAAACAUUAUUUGCAUCUUUAAAAAAAUAGAAAUGUAACAGCAGUAUCUUAAUAAAAAAAAAAAAGGAGGAGCCCCCUGAAUGCUGAUGACGUUGGUGUCCUAAAUGAAGCAUAAAAGCCAGAUCCUGUGAGAUGCAAAGCAUGAGUCAGAGUGUCAGCAGCCCCACACUGCAAGCAGCGCUGCUGCUUCAUUCGUUUAAGGAAUCAAUUCCUUUGCCAUGAGCACCAAGUAGUUUCUACGACUAAAAUUAAAAUGAGAUGCGUGCCGUUAUUAUUUUCAAAAGGUUCUUUUCUUUUUUCCUCUUGGAAUGACAACAAACAGCUCUCUGUAGUUGGAAGGAACCCCAGGUAAGGACCAGGUCCCCGCAGCACUGCUGUUGCGCUGACUCAGAAGACAACCCGGUGAGACCCUGCAGGGAACCUCCCCAGCAGCACAAGCAGAUGGAGCUCACCAGGGCAGAGCACAGCAGGCAGGUGGACUCACCGCAGAUUUCAGCCCGGUUAGGCUCUCUCACCCUGAUUUUGUUUUACUUGCACUGGGUAGCUGGCAGACUCCUGCAGGAUGGAUGUGUCCCGCCCUGGGGAACCCCCCUUUGUGGAGGGUUUACGUGUUCCUUCUUGAGCUGGAAAAGCAGCACACGGCUCCGUGUGCCACACAGGGACGUGCUGCUCCUGCUGCCACAGGAGCACGGCCAGACUUCAGCAUCAGAGCACGAGUCCCUGGGUUACAGUGAGGUCAGGGGGAGGAUUUGGGACUGACGGCUUUUUGGCCUGUUAGAUUUGAAAUUCAUAAAGCACGAGAACAGCACAGAAAGAAACCAAAGGUAGGAAGUGAAUGCAGUUUCUACAAUUCCUCCAGCUUUAGUCAUUGAAGAGGAUUGUUAGAAACGCACAAAGGGCCGUUUCCCUCAAUUUUUUCAGUGUGAAUUUCAUCUUGACAGUUUCAUUUCAGAAACAAAAAUUGAAAACAAAUUGUGCUAUACACAAAACAAAGGGGCAGAUCCUCAUCUGGAAUAGACUGGUAUUACCAAAUGAGUAACACCCGCUCACAGCAGAGGCUCUGGCCCUUGUGACAGCGGCUGCCUGCUGCCAUCCUGCUCUGCCCGGCCAACAGCCUCAGCCUCUGGUUUCAGCUGGCCGCAGAGCUGACUCCAGGUAGCCUGCUGGAGACAAAGAGCUGCCUUCAGAGCUGCUGAGUGUGCACAGUGCUUCAGGGACCCCGUGUGCACCCUGCUCUCCAGAAGUGGGGCUGUUUCCAGGUGGGCGAGCCAGAGGACGCAGCACCGAGAAAGCAGCCGAUGCCAGCAGGGCCCUGAAAGUAAUGAGCUGCUGUGGAGAAAUACUGGCAAAGCAGGCUUCCAGAAUCCAGUUAUUUAUGGGAUUUACUCUCUGAAAAGAAGCAUUUCUCAGAUUUUUCUUUCAAAACCAACACUGGGCUGAUCAUCAUCUUGAAAAUUAGCAGAGGUCCCCAAGAAAAUAUUAACUGCAGCGCAAGACAACGAAUGCAUGCCUGAAUGUGGUCUGAUCUAUGCCAAACAAGACCUGCCCCAAGAGAGACUGGCACAGCACAACUGUGCCUGGCAUUUGGGAAAUCCCUUCAGCCACAAAUGAGUUACUAAUAGGGCAUAAUUAGCUUUGGGUCCUGCCACCACAGUCUCACUCUGAUCGGGCUGUCCUUUGUGCAAGCCCAAGCGUGCUCUAGAAGUCACCACGCCAGCUGGGUUCAUUGCUUCUCUCACCCGAAAGGAAACAAAAUUACACACAUUGGUUAAAUUCAGGAAGCUUCUCACUUUGCCAGUUAUCAGAAGACAUACUGACUGCUGCUGUCUUCAGUGGCAGCCCGGCUUCCAAGCAGAACAUCAGGCUCUCUGUCCUCAUUGUGCUGAGACACUGAAACGAACACACAGCCGUGCACUGGUGGAGGAGCACCCAUCUCCCAGGGCUGACAAGGGGUGGUUUUGGCCAUAGGCAUUUUACAAUUCAUUUCCUUUGAAUUCUUUUGUUUGGAGCAUCAUUUCUCAGCUCUUACACCUCUGCCACCAUCAGCAAGAGCUGGGAAGCCAGAGUUAUUUUUAGGGGAUGGUACAUUUAGGCCCUGUUAAUCUUGACUGGUCCCUUUGAAAAUGACAACGUUGGAUAAUCAAACACAUUACACAGAGUUUCCAUGGAGCCUGCUUGGAAAACUACCCUCCCACCUUUCAGCAACGGAGGGGCCAAUAGUUCAGAUAGCAGCAUUUAAUACUGCGUCAACUUUCCUCAUUACCGUGACCUCCCUAGCAUUUAUAUGCAGAGACCUCCCAGAAGAAGGAAAUUAUGGCACCUAACUGACUUUAAGUAUAUAAAAUAGAACAAUUAGUCAUCAAAAUGUCUUCUAGAAGCUCCAUACUAUACCCAUCCCAAGCAGCAAAAGACCAUUAUCCAGCUCAGCCUGGCACAGAAGAGGAUGACAGCAAUGCCUGGUCAAAUGGUGUGGUCAAACAAACAUGUUGGCAAAACAAUCCCAGAGCAACGGGGAAGGAGCUGCUGGUGUGAAGGCGAAUGCAUUAAAGUGGUUGGCACAAGGAAAGGGACGGGAAGGGAGAAUGCUAGGAAAAAACUCCAGGGGAGGAGCUCUGGCUAAAAGAGGCUACAUGACUGCUAGUAAAUUAAACAGUGCAGGGACCAGCCAGUCUGCAAUCACCUAGCCACCAACACAGGGCAGUCGCAUCCAAACAGCCUGUUAGUAAUGGUCCCUGGCCCACACAGACUUUCACAUCAUAUCCAGGGCUGGCUGGAAAAGUCCCAGGCCAAAGCUCUGCCCAGGACCACACCAAGCACACGGCCAUGAGCUUUGCAGUGGCCCACGGGUACAGCCACGCAGCACAGCAGCGCAGGCGUCUCAUUGCAGCACUGCACACAUACCUGCUGGGUCCCAGCUGAGGGCAUCACUGCAGAUCUGCACCUGGACUGAUCAUCUACAGGAGAGGCAGAGGUGUGCUGUGGUCAUCAACCCACCAGCACUGCCUCCAAUUCGGAAUCUACCUGCACUCUGACCAGUAAGUUAGGAGAGAAGCAGCCAGGCAAGCUUGGCUUUGUUGGAGCAGAAUCAAGUCUGGCUGGUAUUAAGGAAAGCAAAGCGUUACAGGAGAACAGCAGGAAAUUGCUAAGAGAAAGGGAUUUUUAAAUAACUUCAUUUUAAACAAAACUAGGGAAUUACCAUAAAAUAAAUGGCCACACCUUGCUACUCACACUGUUCUGCCAACAAGACUAGCUUUUCCAUAGCUAUUCAAAUAUGAGACCUGGGUGCCUAACCAGCUCUCUCAAGCUGGUUUCCAAACUCCAGCCAAAAAUCACUUUCUGAUUCACCACUUUCUCAGGCACACCAGUAUGCAGAGUACGCCUGCAGGCUGGUACUGUGCUGUACAAAGCACUUAAGCACACAUUUAAUUACACCGUGGACCAGGGAUGUGAUUAAUCAUAUGCUUGAAGUUAAGCAUGUGCUUAAGCAUGCUACUGACCUGGAGCUUGAAGCAGAUCUAUCUGCUACUGUACUGCUCCCCAUUUUCCAGUUCUUUGAGGCUCAAUAAUUGGAAAGGUUGUAAGAACAUCCCUGUGGUUGUGCACUCCUAAGAAUUCAUCCAAACUCUGGUUUCAGACUUUUUUUUAAUGGCAAUUUUUGCAAUUAAAUUGCAUUCUCCCCACGCCCUCCCCAGCACCAAUUAUGGGCAUGACAGCAGUAUGGAUAUUAUUUAUCAGCAUUAAAACAUGAUGCAGUUAUUAUCAUUCACAAACAUUUUCAUUCAGUUGGGCUGGAUGAUCUUGGUGAUCUUUUCCAACCAUACUGAAUCUAUAAUAUUUUAUGCCUGAGGAGUGUACAAAGUUCUCAAAAGAAAUAUGAAGCACAUCACUGCUAGCAGCACUCAUCUCAUGGAAGAACUCAACCAUAAAACACACAUCAGCUAUGGGUGGCCACGUAAACUCACAUUUCAUUAGCUGCAAUGUACGCCAUCCCAGCCAUUUUUCUCACUGCACCACCUGUCCACCUUCCGAGCAAAGCCUUAUUCCUACUUCAUCACAAUUUCAGGGAGCUCAGACUGUCUCCGGUCGCCAGGGAGGAGCAAGCAGAGGAGCAGGGGAGCAGACAGCUCCUCUUCCUAAGGCACAGCUGAGAGCCUCCUCAGUGACAGAGGAAACCACUGCACAGGGACAUGGAGGGAUGGACCAGAGCUGCAUCCUGAGGCAGGCGUGUGAGUGCCAGCUGGAGCGGCCCUGCAUCAGGGAGCACUGUGCCCACGUUCACCCCAUAAAACCAUCUAACACUGACCAGCCAGGAGAUUGCAAUGAAAGCACAGCACGUGCAAAUCCAUUUCCAAUCAGCAAUGGAGAGCAGAGGAGGUUUGAUUACAAAAGAAGAGGCACUGGUCUCUAAAGGAGGUCUCCUUUGAGAAGGAGAAUAGUCCAACCCUGUGUUUGCAGAAGCCUCCUUAGAGCAGUUACGGGACCUUCCUCCUCAUUUGCUAUGUUCCUUUAUUUCAGCUGGACAGAACUUGGCAACAGGAAGCUGAGCUCGUGUUCUUAACAUCACUGAUGUUUUAGAGAACAGGUUAAAGAAACCCAAAUUCACUUGUCACAGACCUGUAAGUCACAGCAACAUCCAGAAAAGCACAACUGCACCACUCGGUGCCUGCUGAGUGCUGCCAGCACACCUUGUCGGAGGAGCAGCUUCAUAAACACAAUUUUUAGGGUCCUUUCCAUGGACAGCCUGAGGUUGGUAUUUUCCCUUAGGCCCCACAGACUGAGGGACGUUGCAUAUUGCAAGCAGGGGCACCAGGACCAGCUGGCAGCAAAGUGCUGAGUGUGGAAACCCUCUGCCUCCCACUGACCACCCCCUGCUGCUCCUCAUUAGCUGCCAGCUCAGACACCAUGGCGGUGUACUCAUUUUUAUUUUCAGCUCUUUUCCUGCCUGGCCGUCAGCUCAGCAGUGCUGCUUACACUCAAAGCUGUGCCUAGAAUAGUGAAGUUGAGGGGAAUUUCACCUAAAAAAACCCCAAGUAUUUGGCCAUCCCUUCAUUGAUCAGAAGUCAUUGUGGUGGGAGAUCAUUUCUGGAAGCCGAAUUGGGAUAUAUUCCAUUUCUUUCAUCCAAACUAAGGUACUCCCUUCCACAUGUAGGUUUACUCAAGGAGAAGACGAUGGAGCAGAGGAAGAGCGUAUCACUGCCCUGCAGCAGUCUGUGCAGCACCAACUACGGCUGCAGCCAACCUCCAUGCCCUGCACAGCCCACCGUGCUCACAGCAGCCUUGCUGUAUGUAUUUUUAAGCACUCAAACCUGUGCUUGCUGCUUGCAUGCAACCGCUCAUAACUCAGCAGUGGUGUCUAACAAGGUUGGCUAGCUAGUUACAGCAUAUUUCUAUUUGGAAAAUGCACUUUGAAGUUCAAAAAGGGGUAAAGUUCAACAAGUUGCAGACUUUGCAAAGGCUCCUUUCUGAACGCACUGCUGUGAAGCGAUGAAAGCUCUCACGGCUGCUCAUCCACAAUCACUGCCAGCCCCCGAACUGACAGCACGGGGCAAACCCUGCCGGGGCACCCACAGCUCCCCGGAGAUGUUUCAGGGCAUAACUGCUGUGUCAAUGGAGCUCUGUGCUCUCAUCCUGCGACACAACCAACCUCCAAUCCCAAUUUAUAUUAUAGGCUUAAAUUCCUAUCAGAUGCUUUGAAACAAAACCGCAGUUUGUGGGUUUGUUUUUUAAGGCAGUAAUGUCUUAAACUAUAAAGACAUCCAAAACUUUAUGUAACGACCAUUACAUAACACCUCAAACUGGCUCUUAAGCAUUUUCCUUACUCUUUGGAGUUCUUACACUUUUAUUUGGGGCAUGUGAGACAACGAGUUAUACAAGUGCAGUUACUCACAUGGGCCGUGUUUGGAGGGAGCGACGGAGAAGAGCUCUCUGCGGUGGAAAUCUUAAAGGGAGAAGCUUCUUUCUAUGUAAAGAAGUUUGCAAGACACAGAAAAAGCAUUCUCUCGUUGAGUUUCACUGCUCUUAAUGAUCAGUUACAGAAACUGAGAACCCAGGAAGCAGGGCAGAGAUAGUGCUAGCUUUAAAGUCUGAAUGCAUGCAGAGCCUCCAAUGGCACACAGCAUGAAUGUCAUAAAUGUGUGUGAAUGUUCUCAUUCAGGCUGUGAUUUACUCCCCAAGGAGAUGCACAGCUAGCUGAAAUAUGCUACAUGCAAACCAAACCCUUCCAAUGAAGUGAGUGCAGUAUGUGAAUCCUGGAGCUAAAUUUAACACAGCUCUCAUCUCAGCAGAGCUCCCAGCAUUGCAGCUAACGCUGCAGCUCACACGGGCAGAGCUGUGCCGGAGUUCUGCUCCUUCGGUCCACUGCUCUGGAUGAUGUUCCUGAAGCUCCUCACUAACUCAGAUUUAAGAAAUUCAGGGUGAUUUAUUCAGCUGAAUUUUGUCUGUGAAACAAUGGCGCUGAAAACAAGUCAAUCUAAGUUGCUUUUAAAAUGCAGACUCAAACUGGUUUGGGCCCCAUGCAACUCCUGUGAAACAGACACUCCUUAUAUAUUAAAAUACCUUUAAGUGUAUUGCUGAAUAAUCCACGACACUGAAAAAAAUCCUGUAUACCAUAAAUAUCUGAUUACAUUUUUCCAGUCAUUGCAUUAUUUGUUUGGUUUUAUGGUCAAAGGCAAAUUAAAGUGAACUGGGCAAGCUUGGUCGUGAUUAAGCUCCUUCCUCGCUGCUUCUUGCUCUGCAGAACGGCUGUAUUUGCAUAGGAAUAUUCUCCUCCUCCAGAAACAUUUCUUUCCAAAUUAACAAACGAAGUCACAAUUAUACAAAAUAUUGUUGUAGCCAAAGCAGAUUUUGCAAUUUAAAACAUUUUAAAUGCAACCCAGACUUUGAAUCUACUUUCCUAAGUACCCUUCAAGUGUAAAAUACACCCACAGCAGUCCGACUGAGGAAUCUGUACCUUCCAUGAAAUAACAAAACAGCACAAACAGUUUAAAAUCUAGCACGUUUUAACUGAACUCCAUUCAAAUUCUUCCUUAUGAAACAAUCUCUCUUUUCAUGCAAUACUUUUCCUGCAGAUUCUGGCUCCAAACUCACACAUCACUUUGCUACAACCCGUUCUGCAGUGCUGACUGCCCGCCGGGUCCCACCGCCCCCAAUUUGUUCAUCUUUUAAUCAGAAGGAAUUCCUGCCCACCUCUCAGCAUUUCUCUCUAUAAGCUCUUAAUUCAUUUUCCAGCAUUGGUAGCUUGCUGCUCGCUCCACCCUCUCAAAUAUCAGCAAUCACUGCCGCUCUUAAAGAGAACUCUGUUUUGGGGAAACGUGAUAUUAUUCCAGAUGUUUCAGCUAUGGCUGCUCUGCCCAACCCGGCCUGGUCAGUGCUCUGCCACGAAGCUCAGCAUCAAACAGCUUCUGGGUUUUAUUUCUUAAACUCCUGCACUGCUGUAUGGGAACGUAGCCCUCCUGGCAGCAAAGCACGCCGAGCCCUGCACUGCACAGAGCAACAGAGGCGCUCCUGAAGAGCUCUGCAUUUCGUCCCAGAAGCACAAAAGCACAGCUCAGUUGGGCACAUCACCAGCCCAGUGGCUAUCAGCUCCUGCAAGCUGCUGGUUCAAUUUAAUUUCAGCGCUUCAGACCACAUUUCUGACAGUAUUUUACGAGUUACCAGGCAAAGAGAGAUUGCUGAAUGAAAUCUGCUUUCUAAUUUUACAGUUUGAGGAAAUUCUAUGCCUACCAUUGCAAAAAAAAAAAAAAAAAGAAGCAAAGUGCACAUUGAGAAAUUGGAAGCAGCAGUAAGCAGCGGUGACACCACUUCACUGCAUGGAGGUUCCAGCAGGAGAAGGGUGGAGCGAGGAGCAGCCCCGGCCCUGCUGUGAUGGGCAGCAUUUGUGCAACAAAGCGAGGGCAGACAGCAGUGUGCCAUGGGCUGCCAGACCGCAGGGGAACACAGCUGCCUGAGCAAGGCUGCAGAUCCUUGGUGAGAUGGGAUGUCAUACAGUUAAGGUAAUGUUAAUGAAUGGCAGCACUAGCAGGCAUGGCCAAGAUUCCAAUCCCAGACCUGUAAGCGGUGUCACUAAUCUGCACUGGAAAAAUACUCCAAUCCUGCACGAUGCCAUGCAAUGUGAGCACACCACGCACCCACAGGGACUUGCAGGACGCUGGGAAAAACUUUCUGUCCGAAGAGAGGAAGAACAGAGGUCCACUGCUGCCACGGAUAGGAAAAAACCAACAACCCAAUCCUCCAGAGCUGAAAGGCCACCAGGAUCCACGUAAAAUCCAGGAAAUCUAUACAAAGCCAUAGCUACUGAGCAAUGCCUCGGAAGUACUUUCAUUAUUUAGUGCUAAAGCAAUAUGCUGUUAACCUGCAGUCCAUCGGCUGAAGCCCUGGAAGGCUGUGCCCUGCAGCCCUGGAGGCACUCCUGCUUCUCCUCUCCCCUUUGAGACAUCACUUUUGGGUCCCCAGGAAGGGAAGCGAUGAAGCCAGCAGGCGCUGGAAGGCUUUUCUCAAGCAGGCCAGCAGUGGGAAGGGAAAAGUGCGCUCCCAUCAGCUGGCCUGCCCCUGUGUAAGGAAGGACCAGCCUGCAGUAGGGCUGGCACUGAGCACGUGGCUUUGCCUUCUGAGGACAGUGCCAAGAACGGGGGGAAAGGGGAGGUCUGUGAGGUGGCUGCUUCAGGCCUACAGAAGUCUGCACACCCAGAGAGCAAGACUGUAACACACGGCCAGGCUGCUGCGAAAGGUCAGACCAAACAACGGGGCUGAUAGCAGGCACAGCCUCCAUCUAACCUUCCCUCCUUGAUCACAUAAACCUGUAAUGCAGAUACUGCGCUCGCCAUGCUCAGUGCCCUUCUGCAACUCCAAAUACAGCCCUGGCUUGAAGGUCUCUAUUUGCAAACAUAGAGGACCAGUGGUUCCUAAACUGCAGGCAAACAUUUGACUUCUCUUGGUCCAAUUCAAAGAAUAUCCUGCACAAACCCCACCCCUCUGCCCAACAACUCAGGCCCUUAAUGCCUAGACAGCUUUCUUUCAGGCCUUAUCACAGAUAAAAUAUGGCCCCUUUUUUGUUGAAGGAGUAGGACUUGCCAAAUAUUUACCAACUCUUUCAGCAGGCUGAAAAUGUCACUCUUGCAGUGUAAUAAACUUCCCCAGAAAGGCCCUGAUAAAUAGAGAGCCUUGCUGUACUGCCCAGAACUAGUUUAUUGUGGCUUAAGAAUUGCCAAGUCUGACGGAUGAAGAAAGCACAUUUGUACACACAGAAACAUUAGCAAGAGAGGCAUAAAGUUUAGAAGUGAAAAUAAAACAAAGUCCCAUUAUUAUUAACUGAGGUGUGGGGGGGAAAAUAAUAGAGCCUGCAUCCCAGAGAGCAGAGCAUGUUACUGAAAGCUCCAGAGCUAAAAGCAGUAAUUUAAGAGCUUGUCCACAACUUGCAGCAGAAGCUCAAACCAUCUUAUUUAGCAUUUGGAAAGUGCUAAAGUGUGGCCUACCCCCAGUCCAGCCUUCAGAGCAACACUAUGCAAAAAUAAAAUAAAAUAGUUUUGCUUUGUAAUCUGACCCACAAAAAGUCAUUUGGGCACGAGGGAAUGCUCUCCUCCAGCCUGGGCUUUAAUUCAGAGGGAAUGUUUAAACAGAGCAGUGUAAAACAGAUGCUGAGAAAUACAUCUGCGUGGCACUGCGUGUUCUUUGGGGCACCAACAGAAGUUGGGAGCUGCUUAUCAAUGUAGCACAUAUGGCUACAAUAGCUGCAAACAGUGCAGGUGAAUGGAGAAAAAUGACAUUCUCAGCAUCACGAAGUCCAUCAGCAGAGUUCUGGCAGCCAUGAAUAACUGCACCCAUGUCAGCUCAAAUGGACGAAUGCUGCUGGGACAGAAAUGUGUCCUUUCACCUUAGCAAAUGCCAUUAGGAGGAAAAAAAAAAAUCCAGAGGCAACUAAAGAGGCAGAACUCAAACAAACAGAUUUAACACAUCCCGAUGUUGGCACUGAGCUCCACAAGCACCACGCUUUGACUGCAUCUUGAAUGAAGGACCCAAACCAAAACACAGCACCUCAGUACCGCCACGCAGCGCUCCAGCACGGAGCUCUGGGGGCUGAACUUGCUUAAAAGCAGGAAGAAAACAAUUACUGCUGGAAAAAAAAAAUAUAUCCACAUUAUGCUAAAGCUGGCAAAAGCUAAACCCAGCAGUUUACCUGGCUUUCCAGAGCAAACCACAAUUAAGAAAGUCUCCUAUGAAAGAGAAAACUCCAGUUCAGCCCACCAGUAUUACAGCCGGGCAGCACCAGCAGCCGCAGCAGCAAUCACUGCUGGGCAGCGAUACCUGAGAAGCUGCACAAGAAGUUGCAAGGAGAGUGCUAAGGAGGCACAGCAACCUCCCCCCCUGCUCCCCCCUUUCACACCAGCAGGUUUUAAUGUUAAUGAUACGGCUCCGUAUGCUUUAAGUAUUUUUACACCAUGCCUGCCGUCCCGUAGCUCUCUCGUUCCAGGGCGGAUGAUUAGAAUCAGAUUUCUGUGAUUUCACUGCAGAUUAAUUUCGUUAAGAGCUGAAGACCCGCGGGGAGGAAGGGCUGCGAGCAGACCGACAGACCCCCCCCGGCAGCGUCCUCUCCAAAAAGGGCAGCAGCAUUUCUGCCUUUCCUCCGUACUUUCGCAUACUUUUCCUUUUUGUGGCCGCGAGGCUGAAAAAAUGGGCGUACGGGGAAAAGAAACGUGCAGAAAUAAAUUCCUUCAAGUUCUGGUUUCAAAGAAAGCUCCCAACCAGCACCAAGAGGAGAAUGGGCCCAAGGCAGCCCUGCUCCCACCAUGCCCACAGCCAACGGCAGCUGGAACUGCACACAGAUCAGCACCGGACACCCAUCCGUGUGCACAGACACACGUCAGAGGGACGGCUAUUAAUACACCUUGUAUGUGCUGUGCUGGACACAGAGGGCCGAGCAGUGGUCUCUAAUACCAUUUACAAACUGUUACUAAUAGCAAAACACAACGUGAAUGUUUUCUAUGGGUAAAGCGUACAGAAUGCAGCACUGAAACUGGGUUUUGUUUGCAAAGCUCUUAUAGGAUCCGAGUGUAAAAGUUGCGUAGGCUCUGUGUGCGCACUCAGGGCAGCACUACAGCAAAGAAAGAAUUCCGCUUAAAACCUUCCUCUGUGCUUUCUGAGCCAUCCCAUCUUCCAUUUGCUUUUAUAGAACAUGGCCACGAGAACCCUGCUGCCAAUUGGCCUUCCUCCUAAUUCUACAGCACUGCUCUCGACUUGACAAGAGAGAAGGGAAGACAUCCAUGGCAAACAAACAAUCACGAGGAGCCGCAAAAUAAUUCUAAGAACCUAAAAUGUAACACAACAUAAUACAGAAGGACACGGAAGCAAUAAAUCCAUGCUAGAGGAGCAAACAGCCAUCCCCACACAUGGCGUUGUAUGCGUAUGGCGCCCAAAAAGGAGCACAAACCAACAGAAUCCACAGAAGUGCAGCAUCAAAACCAAAGGCAAAUCAUGAGGAGCACCCGAAGUGCGAGGGGAAAAAGUAGUGCCAUAAACACGAGGAGUAGCGGAGCCAGGCUGCUCCGUGCUUGUGUGACCACAUCUAUUAAAAGGGGGGAAAAGGGGGGAAAAAAAAAGGAAAACAAAGAAGAGAGGAAAUAAAGAAGAAAACAGACGCGUUUUCUGAAAGUGAAAGCGGUGAGGAUGGCCGCCCUCCCGGCACGGCGUCCCACACGGCCACCGACGGCACCGACCCGACGCGAACGGCCGCGGCCCUCCCGGCGCUGUUCGGAACGCGACGCACUUACGCUCCGCGGAGAACGAACUCCGUCC